UGGGGAAUUUUGGACAAUGGGGGAAACCCUGAUCCAGCCAUCCCGCGUGUGCGAUGAAGGCCUUCGGGUUGUAAAGCACUUUUGGCAGGAAAGAAACGUCAUGGGCUAAUACCCCGUGAAACUGACGGUACCUGCAGAAUAAGCACCGGCUAACUACGUGCCAGCAGCCGCGGUAAUACGUAGGGUGCAAGCGUUAAUCGGAAUUACUGGGCGUAAAGCGUGCGCAGGCGGUUCGGAAAGAAAGAUGUGAAAUCCCAGAGCUCAACUUUGGAACUGCAUUUUUAACUACCGGGCUAGAGUGUGUCAGAGGGAGGUGGAAUUCCGCGUGUAGCAGUGAAAUGCGUAGAUAUGCGGAGGAACACCGAUGGCGAAGGCAGCCUCCUGGGAUAACACUGACGCUCAUGCACGAAAGCGUGGGGAGCAAACAGG
rnacentral:rRNA from 1 species